CCUACGGGAGGCUGCAGUGGGGGAUAUUGCACAAUGGGGGAAACCCUGAUGCAGCGACGCCGCGUGUGGGAAGACGGUCCUCUGGAUUGUAAACCACUGUCCCCAGGGACGAAGAUGACGGUACCUGGGGAGGAAGCUCCGGCUAACUACGUGCCAGACGCCGCGGUACUACGUAGGGAGCGAGCGUUGUCCGGAAUUACUGGGUGUAAAGGGAGCGUAGGCGGGACUGCAAGUUGAGUGUAAAAUCUACCGGCUCAACCGGUAGCCGCACUCAAAACUGCAGUUCUUGAGUGAAGUAGAGGCAGGCGGAAUUCCUAGUGUAGCGGUGAAAUGCGUAGAGAUUAGGAGGAACACCAGUGGCGAAGGCGGCCUGCUGGGCUUUUACUGACGCUGAGGCUCGAAAGUGUGGGGAGCAAACAGGAUUAGAUACCCCAGUAGUC
rnacentral:rRNA from 1 species